rnacentral:lncRNA from 1 species
AAUAUAAAAAUAUUUAAACACCGUUCUCUAACAGCUUAAGCUUUUAGAGUACAACGGUUGUUUCACAUGGUAUCAGAGCAGGAGGUCCUGAGUUCGAAUCACGCCAGGCUCCUAGCAUAUUACCGAUUAAAAAGUCUCGGGCCGGGAGAGUGUUAAAUAUAAAAAUAUUAUCUUGACGCGAUGCAUCGUCUCGUUCGAUAUCUAAAAGAAGCACCAGGUCAAGGGCUGUUCUUUCCUUCACAGGGACAAUUAAAACUAAAUAGCUACUGCGACGCGGAUUGGGCCGGAUGUCCAACCACACGACGUUCUAUGACAGGGUAUUGUAUAUUUCUUGGGAGUGCGCUUGUGUCAUGGAAGAGUAAAAAGCAAGCCACAGUGUCGAGAUCCUCAGCAGAAGCGGAAUACAGAUCUAUGGCAGCAGUCACUUGUGAGCUCACUUGGUUGAGGUACCUUUUACGAGAUUUGCGCAUUGAACAUCUUGAACCUGUCAGGUUGUUUUGUGAUAAUCAAGCAGCAAUACACAUUGCUGCAAAUCCAGUAUAUCACGAACGAACGAAGCACAUAGAGUUAGGUUGUCACACGAUACGCGAACGAAUUCAAAAUGGGGAGAUAGAGACGGCCUAUGUCCAGACGAGACGACAAAUUGCUGAUAUAUUCACAAAACCACUAGGACAAGUCGUUUUUCGAUCACAUCUCAGCAAGUUAGGAGUUCAUGACAUUCACGCUCCAACUUGAGGGGGAGUAUUAAAGGAAAGAAAUUAUUUUGUAUUUCAAUCAAGAGAUUUGUGUAUAGCUGGAAUUAGGAAUAAUAAUAGGCAUCAUGUCUGUUGCUUAUGACUAAGAGAAAUCAUAGGAAUCCUAGCUGUAAUAUACCUAGUAUAGUUGUUUUUUACUGGAUAUAAAGCAAAAGGCUUGUAAUGGUCUGAGAUAUACACAAUAUAUGAAGAAAUUUCUUCACAUUAAUUUGUUUUUCUUCUACAUUUUCUAACAACAAUCCUUAUUAACUUACUGGGGACCUGAUUGGAUGCCUAACAAUAUAUUUUCUUGAGUUUAAAACAUUGCUGUGUGGGCAUGACUGAUCACUGUGAUUACCAUUAAAUUUUUUUUUUCGAGCAUUGGAGUGUUUGGAUUGUCAAAAUAUUUCUUAUAUUAAAAUAUAGUCAUCUCUCUAAAAUUGACUGCUUGGUUAUAUGAAUAUUUUAUAUGGUAUAUUUUUUAGAUUUACUCAAGACCCAUGUAGUAUCUUUAGGUGAGGAAUUUAAUUAAAUGUUUAGAAUGGAAUACCAUUUAAACCCAUUUUUUCGGACUACGCUAAAGUAUCUCUUAGAUGAAAUUGCUAUCCUACAGAGUAACAAGGUAAGUGGAGGAACAAAUAUGAACUCCAUUUUCGAAUCACAGGAAAUCCCCAUAGGCCCUAGCCUUCUUGGAUGAAAGCUUAUUCAGCAUAUCUAUAUAUAUCUAUCUUCUUAUAUAUAUAUAUAUAUAUAUAUAUAUAUAUAGUAUAUAUGAAAGUUUAAUUUCAAAUACUGAUGUGGCAUGGGGUCGAUAUUCAACAAAAAUAACUAUGGCAUCUUUUGCCAUUUGUAAUAUCUUAUUUGAUAUGAGAAUUUUUAUUGUGAUUGAAAGCUAAAAAUCAAAUCAAAUGAAUAGUAUAUUUGACCCCAAAUUAUUUUUUUGGGAAUAAAAUAAAUUAUCUCGUAAGUGAAAUAUAUUAUUAAUCUAUUAUUCUAAAUUAUAAAUAUGAAAAGCUUUCGAAGAGCGAAAAAUUAUUUUUUUUUGGCUUUCAACUAUACAAAAAUAUUCUUCUAGUGAAUAAAUUAUCUUUAAAUAACAUUUUUUGAUAUCAAAAUAAAACCUUAAUGGGCAUAAAUCAAACUUAUUAGCUUGCAACACACAAAAAGAAUUUCAGUUCGAAUAGUAAGUUAUUAUUUGCUAUCUUAUUUUAGUGAAUGACAAAUUUUAUAUGGCCGCGCGUGCAACGUGUUGUGAUAAGGUCAAUUAAUUUGGGGCCAACCCCAUCAGUUCCCCUGAUCUCCGGUGCCGAGACGGCUCAGAGUUCUUCUCUUCGGGCGCCGACGUCGGUGCGGGCGUCGACGUCGGUGCCAGCGCCGGCGGAGGAAGAGGAGGCAGUUUCGUCCUCGUCGAGGCUGCGGAGGUGGUGGAGGGUCAGAAAAAAAAAAAAAAAAAAAAAAAAGAACGAAAGAAAAAAAAGAAAAAGAAAAAAGAAAAAAACAAGGGUAUUUUUUUUUGUUUGAAUAUGCAAAAUUUAAAAUAGUCGCCCAUUUUUAUAAAAUCGCAAAACUAGAGAAUUUUUUUCUAAAUUUUAUAAUUUUUAAUAUUUAAAUAUUUAAAAUGCUAUAAAAUAAAUUUAAUUAAUUAAAUUUUUUUAAUAUUUUAUUUUUAAUAUUUUUAUUAUAUUUAAAUAUUACAUGUGUCCAUUUUCAUUGGUGCAUCUGGUGCAUGAAAAAUAUAUUUUUAUUUUAGUGCAUAUAUCUAAAAUUUAUAAAUAUUAAUAUAUAAAUAUUUAAAUAUUAUAAAAUAAAUUAAAUUAAUUAAAUUUUAGUUUUGACAUCUUUAUGGUACAAAUUUAUUGAUGUGAAUGAGAUGUAUAUGUACACUAAGUAUAGUCAAUGAGUUCGACUAAAGACCAUUUUAAAUUUGACUCAUCAACUAUGUUAAUUCGAUUAAUAUCUCAUAAUUUUUAAUUAUUUUGAUUUGAGUUAUUUUUUAAAUUGGUUUAAGAAUUUGUUAGAUGUAACAACUUUAUUGCCUUCCAACUAUUAAACUAAUUGGAUUAUUCUUUCAUUUUUUAUUAAUUAUCUAUUGUAAAUCCGAAUUUUAGAAAAAAUAUAUUUAAUUUCUUCAACGUUGGUGCUUAAUUUUGUUAAAGUUAGAGAUUUUUUACAAAAUUAAAUAUAUAUUCAUAAAUUCUAGAAAAAUAUUAUAAAAUUAAUUAAUUAAAAAAUAGCGAAUAAAGUAAAUAUUUAUUAUUUUAUCAUAAUAUUUUUAAUUUUCGAUAUUGCUUGUAUGGAUCGACAAAAAUGAUCUGAAUAAAAUUAAAAGAAUAAGAAGAAAAAAAAUAAAAAAGAAAAAAGUUCGUAACAAAUUUUAUAUUUUAAAAUCAAAUGUUAAUACAAAAUAUGUAUUUAAUAUAUAUAUAUAUGUUUAAUAAUAUUAUAUAUUAUAUUUUAUAAAUUUAAUUUAAAGACACACUCAUCGUACCUGCAGUGAAGCGCGCUGGUACAUUGCUGGUAUGCAUCUAUAAGCUUCAGCUGGUGUUUGGUGAAAGUACCUUCAUCUUCUGGGACUCGGAGUCCCCGCAGCGAUCGGGAGAGGCGAAGUAGGCGUCCGGCGACCUCUCCAUGAUACCUUUCUCUCGGCAGAAGGGCAACCAAUACCUCGCAAAGCGCGCCGCCUCCAUGAACGCGAAGAGGGUCACCUCUGAACCCCCAUCGUCCGACACGUAGACCGACAGCUUGUGGGCGGGGUAGUCCAGCGCCAUCAUCGACAGGGCGGUGCUCGCCACGCUUGUCGGCGGCUCCUUGCGGGGGUCUGCAAUGCACACGAACACAUCCAGUGCCGGCCACUCAUGGAGAUCGGGGUCGGGGAGACGGUGGGGGAACUCCUGGCGGCGGACGGGGCGCCAGCGGAAGGCCUGGGAGCACGCCCACAUGAAAGAGAGUAGUAUCGAGUCGGCGAAGAGCAGGGAGAAGUGAAUUACGAAUGAGGAGAAGGAGUUCUUGGAGGCGGCGGCGAGGGAGGCGGUGCGGUGGCAGAGGAGGACGAGGACGGCAACGGAGUAGACCAGCAUGUGGGCGCGGUACAAACCGACGCGACGGUCGACAUGGAGAGUGUGGAGACUGGUAGAGGAGUCUGAGAGGGCCGGCAUCCUGGCAAAGUCCUCAACAAAUUAGCUUGGGACCGCAGAAGAAUUAAUGCGGAGGGAGUGCUAAGUGCUAACUGCUAACAGGAGCUCCACUCCCUCUGGCUUUUUUAUAUAUGAGCAAUGCUAGCUACGUCUGUCUACAUAUGGAUAGCAUCCACUAGCUAACACGUGGAUAGACCGGAAAUUAAUUCAAUUGUGUUCUGCCAGAGAAUCACAUUUUCUUGUUUGUUUUCUUCUUUUUUUUUAUUUAUUUUUUCUCUCACCUCGAAUCACUACAGAACAGCUGCUGGCAACGUCAGUAGCUUUUGAUUAAUCCAAACAAUUAAUUAUUGAUAUUUUUUGCGCUUGCAAGCGGCGGUCAACAGCACGAGCCUCCAAAAGUCUUCUUUUGUAUUAUUAUUUAGUAUUCAAGCCUGAUUAAUCCUAGCGGAGCCUUGCGAUUGGGAUCGAAUCAGUUGUGAAUACGCCUCCAAUAUUGAUGCAGUUUGAGACUUUGAACCUCCCUCCAGCUAAGUUAUGUAAUGAUGUUGGAUCAUGGAUGGUUACCGGUGAAAGCAAUCAAUCAAUUCACUCUAGGUUAUAAUGACUUGUAACGAUCGGAAAAUUCAUCAGAAAUAGAAAUCGGAAAGUUACAAAAAACCAUCCAAGCAAAAAAUUAUCAUGCAUUCUCUACCCCAAAAAAACUUGUAAUAAUACGUUUUACGUCACUCAACAUUAAUCAAGUGCUCACGAUGUACAAUUAAUUAGAGAACUUGAUGAUAAUUUAGACCGAUUGGUGACUUGCAAUGUGAAAAUUACUUGAUUCCAUUUAUUUGUAUAUUGGGCCGGACGUCGGAGUGGGCCGGUCACAUUGGACAAAGAGGAGCCGUAGACGUAGGCCGACCAGAUCUCGUACUCGUUUUUGGCCCAGCGCAAAAAGCCGGGCCUAAAUGAGAUUUCCCAUUUGGAGGCGUUUGGCCUAUAGUGGGAUGAAAUAUUUUUACUGUUUGUGAUAGCACUUGUACAAACAAACAUAUUAAAUUUUUUUAAUGUUUCUAAUAAUGUUUUUUAAACUUUAUUAAAUAGCUUAACGAACACUUUUUUUGGUCGAAGUGGAAUUAUUAAUUAGAUAGUUGUUUUCAGUAUGUUUGGUGGUUAGUUGGGGGCACCGAGAAGGUGAACCCCUUUUGUUCCUCCUCCCCUACGCGGCUACGGUUGCCUCAUUUGACCGAGAGAAGCAUCUACAAUACCCAACUACACGAAUCUUCGCGCACGUCGACUCCGCCUCCUCCUCCUCCUCCUCCUCCGUUCCUAGCCCUAACCCAAACCCUACCUCCUUUUUGACCUGCGCUUCCUUUUGUUCGAUCUCUACGAUCUCCGACCACCGAUCUAUUAGCUUCUCUGAGGUAACAUCAUCCUCCCAUCGAUCAUUCCAUUUUUCUCCAAGUUCUCAUUUCUUCAUUCCGAUCAAAGGUACACCAUCGUUUUUAUUUUAAGUUUCUUAUUUCUUAAUUCGGAUCCGAGGUACAUCAUCAUUUUUCCCAAAGAUUGCUGUUGAUCACCUCUUCGGUUACCCUUAUUUGUCUUUUAUGUGAUGGUAAUUGGUGUAAAGAUUUCGGAUUUAGGAUCGUUGCCGAUCAUGAUCGAUUAAGCAGCAGGAUGAGGGGUUUGUGAUUUGGUCUUUCGAAAUAGAAGUAUAAACGUUUCGAAAUAUAGUUUAAUAUAGUUUGAUUUGAAAUUUGCUCGAUCAUCGGCUAUUUGUGCCUCUCUUUGGCUUAGUCAUGAAAUAGGCGGAAGACAAAAUUAUAUAGGAUGCAGAGAAUGUUCGGAAUGCGCUGUUGACUCAGACAGGAGAUCGUUCCUUUUUCUUUAUUUGUGUUUUUGGGUCACCUCGUUGAAGGUAUAUAGUCAGCCAUCUUCAAAAUCGAGCAUUUGUUCUUAUCUGAAUGAAUCUUAAUUAUGAAGUUUGAUUCACGGCCAUGGAGGGAUCUUUUAACCUUCUGAUUUGAAGAUUAGAAUUUGGGAGUAAAUUGAUGAAACUUGGCAUCUUCAGCUGUCCAAUUUGAUUUGUAUAAUGUGUUUUCGUAUACCAUAUUUCGUUGAUCUCGGCAUUGGAUUUCUCCAUUGUUUCGUGUUCCUUGGGGUUUGUAUUAGCAUUAUUUUAUCUGAGAUUGGGAAAUCUUUUUUUCAGUAUUUGGAAUUCCGUUCUUUUUCAGUAUUUUCAUCUCAAAUAUGCAUGAACAAGUAAUAUUACCAUGUAAUAUUUGUUAAGUGCUAACUUUUGGUGUGUCUUUAUUGGAAACUGUUUCGAAAAGAUUGUACAUGAUACUGUGUCUUCUCUCUCAGCUGAAGAUUUCAAUACUACCUUGGGAAUAUGGAAGCUGUUGGAUAUAGAGUUCCUCAUACCAAACUCUCUGGUUUUUGUUGUCAGCGAAAUGCUUCAGAAGUGUAAGUUCAACGUGUUGGGACUUUUGUAUUUGGAGUUCCAGUGUUAAAUCUCUAUCGCUCCGAAGUCCUUAUUUUUUCUUACGUUGGAGAAGCUUUUCUACUUAAAAAUAUAUACGUAUAUAUAAUGUAAUUACUGUAUUUGUUCCAUUAGUUAUGUUUUCUUCUAUUAUCUUCAGGUCUUGCUUCAGGACGAAGGCUUUUGCAAGUCACUUAACAUCUAACUUGCGAAACACAGAAGAAAAGUUGCAUAAAUGUAAAAAAUCAUUUGAAUUAGUUGCGUGCCCGUCGUAUUCAUGUACUAAUAAAGAUGGAGGUUUAGCCACAGCAUGUUUGAACACGCCUCAGAAAAGGCGUCACCAAAUCGGCAAUACUUUUUCUUCAGCAGAAGCAUAUAUUUUGGAUGAAAAUAUCACCGGGGUUCCUUUAAAUACUGCAAAAGAAAGAGUUGGUGUGCUGCUCCUGAAUCUUGGAGGUCCAGAGACCCUUCAAGAUGUUCAGCCAUUUCUGUUCAAUCUGUUUGCUGAUCCGGUAUAUGAUUAUGCACAUUUUACAUCUUACUUUUGACUGAUGGAAAAUUCAAAUCUGUCUUGUGAAUCAUUUUUCAGCCUUAGUUCUCUUAGUUAGAGAAAUUGGUUCAUCAUUGUUACGCUAACUCAUUUGAAGAGUAAACUGAAUACAUUUCAAAUAAAUGAUUUUAAAAGGUCAAAAAAAUUACGCCAACAUGUAAUCUGAAAAGUAAGCAAACAUGUAAUCUUUAUUUUAGCAGAUUUCUUUCUCGAUCUCAGUAACUUUUCUAUCAAUUGGUCCCCAUAGGUGCUGUCUUCAUUGGAACUAUUAUUGUGUGGUAGCUUAUUAUUACUAAGAGGAUACUUGAUUAUCUGAAUAUACAAUCACACAAUUCUUCUUUCAUGGGCUUUGUAUAAUUAUCUAAUCAUGCAGAUAAAUACUUUUCUCAAGAGUCUAACGAAAGAUAGUAUAAAAUUUAUCCAAUCAUGCCUAUUUCACGUUGCAUGUCUAAUUAGUUGGAUAACAUUAGUUAAAUAUGAUAGAAAGGCAUGUCUUUGCUUGCCCCGAGGGCAUGGGCUUGAGUUGUAGGACAGCCUCAAUUGUAAUCAAAGAAAAGUUUGGCAUGCUUUGACCAUCGUAAAACAUUAUCUUUGCUAGGAUCCUUAUGCAUUAGAAAUUUAGAAUACCAUUUUCUGUUUAAUUCUAAAUUCUCUAAUUUGAUCUCAUCUAUCACAGGAUAUAAUUCGACUUCCAAGGUUGUUCAGGUUUCUUCAGAGACCACUGGCCAAACUAAUAUCUGUAGUAAGAGCUCCCAAGAGUAAAGAGGGUUAUGCUGCUAUUGGUGGCGGAUCACCUUUACGAAGAAUAACAGAUGAGCAGGUAGGUCUAUAUCUCACUCCCCUGUUGUUCCUCCUGUAUCAGUCUUCCAUUUUCUAUCAGUACUCAUAUGAAAAAAAAUCCUUUAUCACCUGUGAUUUUUCAUUACAGAUUGUACACUUCAUCUGGUUCUUAUGAUUAUCUUGAGACUGUCAUGAUCUUCAAAAUUGUACUAGUUGUUCAGAAAAUGCUUGCUACCAACUUUGUUUUCUUACUUGUAACAUAUUUCAGGCACAUGCUCUGAAGGCAGCUCUGGAAGAGAAGAAUUUGCCUGUAAAUGUCUAUGUUGGCAUGCGAUAUUGGCAUCCCUUUACUGAAGAAGCCCUUGAUCAAGUUAGUUGUUUCAAUAUUUUUAACUUGAAAUAAUGAACGAACUUUUGGCAUCUGUUGUUUUUUCUUUUCGGAUUAAACAUCCAAUUCUUCAGUUUGUUGUUUUUUGUUUUUUUCCCUUGAUUUGAACAUUUGUGGUUAAGUUGUAAUGAAUUAAUGUCAUGUAGAAUCUGCUACUUUCUGUUUUUAAGAGCCAUCAUUAUUAAUGUUUUAAAAAAUUCGUUCUGAAAAUUUUUACUAAGUCCCAUCUCAAAGCCUGUAUUGAAAUCACAUACAAUUAUUGUUAUGAAGCAACUAAGAAGUGGCAUGUUAUACUACUAAUAUAGAAAUCAUAUUGUACGACUUAAUGACUAACGAUAAUUGUUUUGAUCUACAUUAUGACAGAUAAAGAAGGAUAAUAUUACUAAGCUUGUUGUUCUUCCACUUUAUCCUCAAUUCUCCAUAUCAACAAGUGGUUCAAGUAUCCGUGUUCUUCAGAAUGUCUUCCGGUAGAGAGCUACAUUUGUUUGGAAGUUUUACUGUAUUUUAUUAUGAGAUCUAUCUUGAAUUUCUUUUGUAACUUUUUUCUGCAUACAGGGAGGAUCACUAUUUUUCAACACUGCCGGUAUCAAUAAUUGAAUUUUGGUAUCAGCGCAAUGGUUAUAUUAACUCAAUGGCUGAUUUGAUACAGAAAGAACUGUCAAGUUUCUCUAAUCCUGAAGAGGUAAUUCUGUUUUUUCAGAUGUACUUGUCAAAACUUUCAGCUUCAUGUUUGAUUUGUAUGCUGUAACAAGUUAAUUUUUGAUUGAAACUGAGGAGUUAGUAUACUGUGAGGCAUAGAGUCGUGUCCCUCAAAGACUUAAUGGUGGAGGCUAUUUCGUUGAAUUUUCAUUAUAGGCUCUCCUUUUGGUAGGUUAUGAUAUUUUUCAGUGCGCAUGGAGUUCCACUUAGCUAUGUUGAGGAUGCAGGAGAUCCGUAUAGAGAUCAGAUGGAGGAGUGUAUCAUCUUGAUCAUGGAUGAGUUAAAAUCCAGAGGAAUCUCCAACAACCAUACUCUUGCUUACCAGGUAUUGGAGAUAUUAUCUGAGAUCUAUUCUCUUAUUUUGUUUCAUGUACUUAAGCAUGCUCUUUACUUUUCUCGAGGUUUUAGUAUUUAGACACCACAAAAGAAAAAUAAAUAUCCUCAAAGAAGUAUUGAUUUUUAAAGGGCUAAGCAGAUAGUCUCAUCAGUUGCAACAUUUUUGAACAUUAUUACAGAGCCGCGUUGGCCCAGUUCAGUGGCUGAAGCCUUACACUGAUGAAGUUAUAGUUGAGCUUGGUCAGAAAGGUGUAAAGAGUCUCCUGGCUGUUCCAGUGAGGUACGUACUAAAUGCGACCAUCUUUCAUUGGUCUAAUGCAAUCUUAAGCUCAUUUUACUUGUUUCCCCAACAUGUUGCUUAUCUUAAUCCUGUUGAUUUUUCUCACUUUACUAUGCGUUAUGUAAUGCCAUAGAAAUUUUGCUAAUUCUGGUGAUGGCGGAAUUGACGGAGUACAAUAUUUUCUACAUUGUAGUAAUGAUGACUACAUUCACAUGGCUUGUUUAGGUGCAUAUAUCUGAUAUUGACUUACUAUCGUUGUAGCCUUGCUCUUGUUUUUGGAGAAUUUUUCAAUCAUUCUAGGACUCUUUCCUUAACCGUCAUCUUAUUGGAAUUUAAGUACCAAUGUAGAUAGCGUUCAAGAAACUACAGUAACUUCAAGCUACUGUUACUGCUUCCAUUUUCCAAGUGUGGAUUUAUUUGUAAUAACACCAUCCCUGUUUUGUUAGCUUCCAUUGGCGUCUAGAAUAAGAGUAAUUAUUCUAGUUUUCUUGAACAAAAGACCUUAGUCUGUUUGAUCAUGCAUCCAGCUUUGUGAGCGAGCAUAUUGAAACCCUGGAAGAAAUCGACAUGGAGUACAAGCACUUGGCUCUACAGUCAGGCAUCGAGAACUGGGGCAGGGUGCCCGCUCUCGGCUGCACCUCUUCCUUCAUUUCUGAUCUAGCAGAUGCAAUCAUCGAAGCCCUCCCCUCUGCCUCUGCCAUGAUCACCCGCGAUGACAUCACUUCCAACCAAUCUGACAUGGACAUUGUGCAAUACAUGAUCAAAAUGUUCUUCGGAUCAAUCCUGGCCUUCGUUUUGCUUUUCUCACCUAAAUUACUCUCCACAUUCAGGAAUUCUAUGUUAUGACCUUCUUAUUUAAUGGGGCUAUAUUUUACCAUACGGAAGAUGACAGCAGUUAUAAUUAAGAUUGUAAUAAUUUCCCAGGAUUUUAGAGUUACAAUAUACAAAGGUUGCAAGUGCAAUACAAUCCCCUUUUUGAUUAGCUUGUAGAAUGGAAUGAUCUGAUACAAUGUAACACCGGCCUUGAUGGAAAGAAUCAUCUGUUGAUAAUAUUACUAUUUAAGUGUGUUUAUCACUUUAUCCAUUGCGCCUUUAGGUGAGGCUGUUGGAUUCCAACGUAGGAAGCUCUCAGUUUGUAUAUAUGUUUCAUAUUUUAAAUGGGUAAAAAUGUAUGAAGAGUACCUUAUGUACUGGCUAUUUUGAAAUAGACCCCCUCAUGUAUUUUUCUUUAUAAUUGACACCUUCUCAAACUUGUAAUUCUCAGUGCAUAACAUAGAUGGAAACCUUCUUUUAAUCCUCAGUGCGGAAAAUAUGCAGCUCUGUUUCCAUUUUUUAAGCAGCGAAGCAUGAACAACCUAGUGUGUAGCCCAAAUAAUCUCUCUUAAGUAUUCCGGAUAGGUUUGUCAAGUGGCGAUGGCCUGUUUUAAGAUUCUUCUGGGCCUUGUUUUAAGAUUCUGCUACCCAAAUUUCCACUUUUAAGGACGGAAGGAACUGAAAACCCUGUUAUAAAUAUCCGUGUUUUAAAUUGAAAUAGAUGGGAUGAUUUCCUUCUUUGUAUGCUGUCCUCAAUUCGAACUCCAUACAGAUAUAACGAAGAUCUAGUAUAUAAAAGGGGUGGAGGGGGGGAGGGAAGCUCAAUGCAACUUAACCAAGAAACAAUCACGACUUCAAAACUAGAUGUAUGCAUCGUGAAACUUACGUGCAAAGAGUUUAAUGAACAACUAGUGAAGUUACCCGCGCAUUGCGGCGGAAUGAUACUAUAGAAUAUAAAAUAUAAAUAAAAUAAAAAUUUUAAAUUUUUUGAUUUGAUAUGGGACUUCAAUAAACACAAAUAUAAAAUAUAAAAUAGAUAUAGGUAUAGAUAUAACAAAAUUUAUAAUUUCGAUAAAUAAAUCACACAUAAUAAUAAUAAAAUAAGCAAUAAAUUUUUUUUUACCCCAUACACAUCUUCAUUGCACUAUCGACAUCGGAGAGGCAAAUUCCGAUCUUUACAUCGCCUUCGCCGCUAGUGUCCAGCUCCUCUUUAGUCACGACCAUAUCAAUCCCGUAUCCACAUCCACUGCUUCUUCUCUCUCACUGACUCCAAAUCCAUCACCGUUUUCUUCUGCAGCGCUCCGUCGCGAUCCUCGAAACCCUAAUUUCAAUCCACACACAACAAAAAAUUUUAAAAAGUUACAAAACAUGAGCCCUUUUUGUGCGCCAAGAAAAAAAGAAAAAAAAGAUAUGAAGAAAUAGAGAUUAAACCAUGUAAACAUAUUAAUUGAGAGAUAAGGGGGAGAAAAAAAAACAAUAUGAAAAAAAAGAUAUGAAGAAAUGGAGAUGAAACCAUAUAAACAUAUUAAUUGAGAGAUAGGGGGGUUAGGAAGAUGAAGCAUUGGGUGGAGAUGGUAUUAUGUAAACACAUUAAUUGAGUGGGGGUUUAGGAAGAUGAAACAUUGGGUGAAAAUGAGAAUGGAAAGAGAGAAGAGAAAAGAGUGAAGGAGAAUUCGCCACGUGGCAAAAAAUUAGGAGGAAUAAUGUUUAGGUAUAGAUCGUGCCUAAAUGCCUCUUUUACUAUGGAAUUUCCUUUCCCAACUUCAUCAAGGACGUUGUUCUCUGCAAGAGCCCAACCAAUGGCUAAACACGCGAAUAUCAGGAGCGCUGGAGGAAAUGCAGAUCCACUAACCAUCAUCAUAAAGAAACAGAAAGCACCUGGAGCACGUUUUGCAAGGUUUCCAUUCAUCAGUUCCACAUGUUCUACGACUGAUCAGGAGAAGAAACAAGCUCUAGUUCUUUUGAUGUUGGCUCCUCCUCUUCAUCCUCGUGAGCAUUAUCAUCAUCACCAGCACUAAUUAGUCCGCCAAACUGUGCAUCCACGUUGUUCCCAUGCCCCACCAAUUGACCUCACACUGUGGGCCUUGUUUCAGCGAGACACUUCAGUACCUAAUCUCCUCGUCAAAGCAACGUCUCUGAAUUUCACAAGCGCUGCUGCUCUUCUUUCAGUUUGAUCAGACUUAGCUUCAAGCACGGACGUGCGUGCUCGACCAUAAAUUCGUCGCAGGCAUGUGGCCCGAUAGCAAACUUACGCCAACAUGAUUAGGAGGAGUUGACGGCAUCACUAGCAUUUGAGGAAGAACAUUAUACGUACUGAGACAACAAUUCAUGCUGGCGAGCCGUGUUUAAGCUUUCCUGAGACAUGCUGAUCGACCCCCCUCCGUGUCUCCGCCCGUGCUCUAUCUCUUCUUCAGUCACGAGCACGAGCAGGGGAGGAGCUGUCGCGAAGCCACGCCGCUCAAUACUGCUAUGCAUCGCUGUCUGCUCCCCUCCUCCUCUCAUCGCCACAGGCCGGGUGACAGCUGUCGUCAUGAUCAGUUGUCGUUACCUCCUAUUUAGGAGAGAUGCGCGCCCCUAAAUUAUUUUUUAUGUAGUAAUUUUUUAAGAUUUUAAUUGAAUGAUUGUAAUUAUCCUAAUCAUCAUCAACAAUAUAUUCCAAUCACUUUCUUAUUUAUAAACUUGCUUUCAAAUUUCUUAGAUAAGUUCACCACGACAUCUUGAGUUUUUAUUUUUUUAUUUUUAUUUUUUUUUUUUUGGCUCUGUAUAGAUUGAUUCGCAGCAUUUUAAUUUGCCGCAUCACAUAUUUGCCAUAUAAUUUUAAAUAAAUAGUCAUCGUAUUUACAUAUUUUCCAACGUGUGUAUAGUGCGGAUACUUUUGCCGGCAUAUAUAAAAUAGUGGCCGUAGUGGGCAUCUCGCUGGCAGUAGCAACAUACAUACUACUCCGUACUCACCGAUCAUGCUCUGUGUGCCUGAAAGACUAUAUAUUACGUACUUUUUCGAGUCUUCCAUCUGGAUAACUUUGUUUCUUUCUUAAUUAAUUACAAUAUAUCAAAAUUGGCCAGCUUGUGCUGCGUGCCGUCGUAGAGUCGAUAGAGUCGAUCGUACUCAGCUGGUGGGAGCGAGCGCGAAUUAAAUUAAUUUCUCUUCUUCCUUCGGUUACUAAUUUCUUCCUUGGUUGAUCGAUCCGGGAAAAUUAAAGGAGGAACGCGCGCGUACGUAAUCCUUCAAUAUUCCUUCGGCCUCUGCUCAUUCUAUGUGUUUGCUGCGGGCCGAACGUACGUGUUGCUGCCGCGCGUAAUCCAUCCGUCGAUCGGAGAAGAAAAUUAAGAGUAGUAGUAAGUAGUACGUAGUACGUAGUACGUAGUAAAAAAAAAAAAAGAAAAAAAAAAUCAAAAACUCUAUCUAGAGACUGGGGCCAGCCGAGAAUCGAUCGGAGUGUUGGAGCGUGCAGGAUCGCUAGCUAUAUAUAACUGGCGAAGUGAUUGAUGGAUCACCGGGCGGGGGGCUGCAGGCGGUGAAGAGCCGAGUAGGCAAGGAGGCGAUAUCCGACGAGCAUGAGGCCCAUGAUGCAGACGUCGACCCACAUGUGGGUCAGCCCAACCGACUUGAUGGCCGGGAAGUCGACGACGGGGCACGUGGCUGCUCCGCCGCACUCGUAGCGGUCGGUCUCUCGGAACUGCACCCCGAGGAGGAGCUUGUAGCAGUAGAAGCUGUAGCUGAGGUACUUGAGCCAGACGAUGAAGGGGGGGAUGUGCUGCACGUAGUAGCCGCCGGCGAUGAGGAAGACGAGGGUGGUGACGGAGGCGAGCGUGGUGGCCUGCUUGACGUCCAUGAGGAGGGCGCCGAAGGCCAGGCCGAGGCUCUGGGCCACGAGCACGCUGAAGAGGACGACGAGGAGGGAGAGGACGAAGGCGGCGGGGUCGGGCCUGAGGCCGCCCAUCCAGUAGAUGAUGACGACGAAGGCGGUGGGGAGGCCCAGCUCCAUGGGCAGGUCGCCCACCGUGCGCGCCAGGAAGUAGGACGACAGCCGGUACAUGCCCGACGCCCGCUCCUUGGCCAGCAUCGGCCGCUCCUGCGGGAACGUGAACACCGCAUUGUACAGCGGGAAGAACCCCCAGAAUACCGAGAAGAAGAAGAUCAGUGCAGUCUGCAUGCGCCACCACAGCCACAGCCACAGCCACAACCACAACCACAACCGUGCAUGUUUAAUUAAUAAUUAGCAUGUACAAGGUAGCUAGGGGAUUCAGAAUUAGUCACAUUCUUUUUCGUAAACAUGUACAAUAGCACAAACGCCGUAUACGAAGAUGAUGAUCAAAAUUAAUUAAUUAGUUGUUUUAAUUGGAAUAUCAAUUAGAUGAUACCAAUUUAAUUAAUUGAAGGCCGCUCUAUACAUAAAUGUCGAUGCUGCUCUAACGAUUAUGCGCGUUGCACUCGAAGAACGCCAUAACAUGUGAGAGAGUGCGAGCGUGAGCUCGAAGCUCACGCACAUGCAACACUCGGAUCGACCUACCUAAUUAAUUGACAGGAUAUAUUCCUUAGUCAAAAGGAACUGUCGCUAGUAUAGCAUAUAUUCAUCACGACCAAAAAAGUGAUCUUGUUGGAAUAUAGUAUAUAUUCGUCACGACCGAAAAAGUCAAUUGCAGUUGCAAUUCCAGACACCAAAGAGAUAUAUCAUACAUAUAUACGUACCUAGCUAUAUAGUCGGAGAAUAUAUAUAUAUAUAUAUACACACACACAUACUUAUUGUUCUAGAAAACUUCAACAGUACGUGUACAUGUGCACUUUCUUCUUUUUCUUCUUCGCAUAUUAAGUAGGCAAGUAUAUAUAUAUAUAUAUAUAUAUAUAUCUAGCUAGGAAUUGAUUAAAGUGGGAUUAGUGAAAAGGAAAUUAUUAAAAAUAUAAAGUUAAAUACCCGGUCUUGGAUAUGGGACGGUGGGGUCUUCCACCACAGGAGACCUCCGAGGAUGGCCACGCUCAGGACUUGGAGAAUCCUCAGCUUGUUGAAAGACUCGUACCGCCUCUCUUUCAGCCCUCUGCUCAGCAGCACCGAGAACUGCUCCCACCACCCUAUGCUCCAUUUCUCUCUCUUCACUGCAACAACAACAACAACCAAAAGAAAAAAAAAAAGAAGAUAGAAAACUAAUCAGUAAUUAUCGAUCCAAAUUUGCUUGUCAUAGUGAAAGCUACGUGAUGCAUGGUCAGAUUGCAAUUAAAUAUACGUGCACAACUACGUACCGCGAACAGACGUGUCUCGGGCGUAGCCGAAGUUGGCAGGGUCGACGCCGCAGAGCUCGGCCUUCAACCGGGUGGCGAUGUUGCGGUCGUAGGCGGAGAUGAGCUCUUCCUUAACCGCCUUCGGAUCCCUUGCUACUGUUUCCGCGCUUUCGUUAGCUAGGUUGCUGUCCCCAUUAUUGAUCUCGUUGCUUUCCUUCGAAUCCGGUGAUAUUCCUGCAAUUAGUACAUAUAUACAGCGUGCGCGCGUCAUACUCAUGCAUGCAUGUCACUGUGAUCUAUAUGUAUGUGCAACUAGCCGCAUGCAGCUCGUUCUGAUCAUCUCUCACAUCGAUCCAAUUAAUGUACAUAUCCACACAUGCACAAAAUUUUCUUUUAAAGAAAACGAGAAAAAAAAAAUUUAAAAAGAAAAUAGAAGAAGGGCGAUUCGAGCUUGUUAGAUCGAGUAAUUAAUUAAUGCCUGAAGUUUGUUGUGAUCGUGCAAAAUCUAAUUAAUAAGCCUAUAGCUUGUGAAAUUAAACAUUAUUGGAUCAUUUCCAUAUAUAUGCAGAGUAAAAGUAACUAAGCCAAGCUGAGGGAGGGUUGUGGUGGGAAGUGGAGCCAACGAUUAGGGCAUUUCUCACAGUGGCCGACAACGGGCUCGAUCCUCCGGACCCUCUCCCUUGGCCUUGGUUUAAUCCCCCAACACCCCCUACUGCUUUCUUUCUCUCUCUCUCUCUCUCUCUAUAUAUAUAUAUAAAUAUAUGCACCGAUGACUAGAUUAUAAGCUAAGAAAAAUUUACUUAUGACUAUACAUAUAUAUAUAUAUAUUCCCCUCAUGUGUGGGGACCUACGUAUAUAUGUACUCAUUGGCUUUUCCCAGUUUGCACAGCACCAAAUCUAGCUCGUGAGCAGCAAACAUGGCACGAAUCCAUUGUUCCCAUCACGAAAGUAGUAUUGAAUAUAUAUAUAUAUAUAUAUAUAUAGCACUAAUUAAUUAAGUAACAUAUAUGCAUAUAGUCGAAACGGCGAAUUAAUUAAUUAAUUAAUGAUUAAUAUAUAUUAUUAUUAUAUAUAUAUAAAAUUAAAAAUGAAUUAUAGUAGGAUCGAUAUAUAAUUAGGAGAGCAGACGAUAGAUAGAUAGAGAUAUAAUUCAAUAAUGUAUGUAUGUAUGUAUGUAUGUAUGUAUGUAUGUACCGUUGGCUAGGUCGAGCAUGAGGUCGGCGGGGUUGACGGAGAGGCGGGACGCGAAGCCGACGGAAGCGAAGUAAGGGAGGGCGUCGGCGGCGCGGCCGUAGUAGAUGGGGCAGCCCUCGGCGGACAGCAGGAGCACCUUGUCGAACAUGUGGUAGAGGCGCGACGACGGCUGGUGGAUGGUGACGACGACGGUCCGCCUGCCGUCGGCCGCCAUCCUCCGCAGGGCCCCGACGAUGCGGGCGGCCGUGGUGGAGUCCAGCCCGGAGGUGGGCUCGUCCAGCAGCAGCAGGCUGGGGUCCACCAGCAUCUCCAGCCCGAUGCUGACGCGCCGCCGCUCGCCGCCGGACACCCCGCGCACCCCGCGCACGCCGCCGACCAUGCUGUGCGCCACCCGCCCCAGCCCCAGCUCCAGCAUCACCCCCUCCGCCCUCACCGCCUUCUCCGCCGCGCCCAGCUUGCGCGGCAGCCGCAGCAGCGCCGUGUAGCGCAGCGUCUCCGCCACCGUCAGGUGCGGGUAGAGCACGUCGUCCUGGGCCACGAACCCCGUGCGCCGCUUCACCGACCCGCAGAAGGGGUGCCCGUUGUAGGUGAUCUUGCCGGAGUGCAGCUUGCCGGGGAGGCGGCCGCCGAGGCCGGUGAGGAGAGUCGUCUUGCCGCUGCCGGAGGGGCCCAGCAUCGCCAGCAUCUCCCCCGGGCACACGUACCCCGUUAUCCCGUUUAGGAUCGUCUUCGUCUUCUCUUUCGCCGCCAUUGCCAUUGCCUUUGCCUUGCUCGGCCACCACCAACCGCCUCUCUGCUGCCCCACCUUCACCUUGUACACCACCUCCUCAAACUGAAACAUAUAUCAUGUGCGCGCAUCCAUUUACACAUACAUACAUCUACGUACGUACGCGCUACGUGGGGGGGUAUAUAUGCAUGCCCUUAAUUAAUUGCCAUAUAUAUAAGCUAGCUAGCUAGCUAGCUAGCUAGCUUUUUAUAUAUAUAUGUAUAUGUAGACAUGGACUGUGAGAGUACUACGCAUAUGCAUAUGUGGCAGAUGGUCAGGACAGUGUAUAUAUAUAUAUAUAUAUGUAUGUUGGCUAUAUAUAUAUAUAUAAUAUUAAUUGUGGAACGAACCUUGAGGGUGAUCGGAAACACUGCGGUGGUUUGGCGAAGGCGACGAGCGUCGAAAGGAGCGGUACUGGGGCUCGGAUGGACGGCCAUAGGCUCGUUCCGGUGGCCUCCGCCUGAUUGAUCAGGCUCGUGGGGCGGCAUGAUGAUAUGGGUCCAAAAAUAUUUCCGAUCUGCUGAUUAAUACUGAUCGAGCUAGUAGUACAAACUAAUUAAUUAACCAAUUAAGGACCCAGAAGAACAACAAGAAGAAGGAGAAUUAAGGUAGUUCAAGAACUGGCCCUGUGGAAAUUAAGCUGUAUGUAGCUUGUUACUGGUUUACAGAGAGAGAGAGAGAGAGAGAGAGAGGAGCCUGUGUGAGCUGAGGAGUUGGUUGAGAAGGAGAGCUCCACUCUAUCACUAUACAUAUAAGGGAGGAGGUGGGAGAGAGAGAGAGAGGAGAGAGAGAAGAGAAGAGGAGAGAGAGAGAUUAAAAUUAAAAAAGAGGGAGGCCCACCAAAUUGGUUUGUUGCUAUCAGUACUGCUAAGAAAGGAGGUUAGCUAGGCCCAUAUAUACAACAAGCAUGCAUGCUCACACCCAGUUUACACUACUACUUGUAAUAAUGGAAGAUGAUGAUCAUGGAAUGGAGAAUUAAAAAUUGAGUGUGGAUUGUGAUGUCCAGAAGUUGGGUUGGUGUGGCCUAUCCAUACUAUUUUAAUUAAUUAAAAAAAAGAGCACAGGAACCGACUGUCCUAGAGCAAGUGGCAAAGGACUUGGUGAAGGUUGUUCGAAACCUAAGUUCGAAUCCUAGUUGAUUCACAUUUCUAGCUAAGUUUAUUUCUAAAUGAAAUAAACGAAAUAGGUAGCGUGCUACCUAUCUCUCUCUCAAAAAAAAAAAAAAAAAGGGCACAGGAACCAUUCCUUCAUUAAUUCCUUGUGUCCGAGUUAACCUGCACCUUUGAGACCAAGCAAUGAUGCAUGCAGGACCCCCCCUGAGACAAAUGAUGGAUGAUCAGGUUUAAAAUUUUCAACACACAUGAUUCAGUACCGCAUCUACAGAUAUAUUAUGAGGCCCCACAUAAGAUAUCAUACGUGGCUAGCUACAACUAGAGAUGGGAUCUAGUUAACAAAAGUUUACAAUGCUGACAUUUACCACAACCAUUAUAAAUUUAUGAUUCUGGCUCCAACUUUUUGGGAUGUAAAUCAUCCCUCUCCGUUCACAUCCAUAAGCACCAACUUUAUUUACUUGUGCCUAUCAUGCAUGCUUAAGUAAAUAAGCCUGCGACAGCAAGAGGAUAUAUAUAUAUAUAUAUAUGAAACGGGCGAUUUCAACUGUCGAAAUCUGUAUAUGCUGUUAGAUGUGAUCUGCAAUAUUUAUACAAGUUUUGAAAAACCAUUCAAAUAUUAAUUUCUUGCAUGAUUAAUUAUUGGAAAAAGCGCCCUUCAUUGAAAAAUUAAUGUAGAUUAUUGAUCAAUUUUGUCGCUCUUUGUAAAAUAAUCCAUUACACAAAAAACAUAAACAGUACUCAAAUAUGGUCUUUUGUUAUAUUAUAGUCAAUACUUCCUUCAUGACGUCUCGAUUGGCUUGACACUUUUGGAUAGCUGAAGACGUGAAUUUGAAUAAAAUAGAAAAAAAAUUAAUUAAGACUAGCGAGGAUCUUGGCUUGGUUUGGUUCGAACUUAAAACCCUUUCUUAAGCCUUUUAGAAUAAAUGAUUGUUCCACGUGACAUUAUCAGUAUUGCUUAAGAAAUAAGUUUUUGGCACUUACAGUAUCUUGUACAGAGGCCUUUUCAAGGUCGUAAAUCAAUUCAAAUAAUUUAGAUUUAUUUUGAUUUCAACUCUCCUCAAUUUGAUUUCGAACAUGCAUAAAUUAAAGUAUGUGCACACUUGUGAGUGCGAGUACGGCUAGACUACUAUUUAUCGUAGUAUUUAGAAACUAAUACGACUACUUAAUCAAAUUUGGUGUUAGGGCAUCUAUGCUGAUAAUUCAUAUAUUUUAUCAAGUAAAACCUAGACUAUUCAAAAUGUUGAGAAAUAAAAUUAACAUGUAAUCUUUCUUGAACUAUGUAAUUUAUCUAUGCAUAUAUCUUAUCUAUGCAUAUAUCAACUAGACUUAAACUUGAGACGCUUGCUUUAUGCACAUCCAACAGAUCAAAAGUUGGAGUAGCCUAAAUAAACUCUCUCUCCCUCUGUCUGUGGGCGCGCGCACACCUAGAUAUAUUUGUAUAUAUACGCAAUUAUUAUUUGGCUAAAGCAAGGCCAAGCAUAACGUACGGCUCAUGCUACAUGAACGGUGAUCACAAUGAUGAUCGAGAGCCUUGCCUACGCUGAAAUAUAUAACGUGUAGAGCCUAACCCAAUCAAAUUAACACACAAAUUAAUCCUCAGUUCGGGAAUAAUAAAUUAUUGAGGGAGCCGUAUAGUAGCUAGUGGUGGUCUCUUCGAGGGAAUAUAAUCUUAGAAAGAGGUCCAAUUUGGUGAUUGCAGUAGGUCCAUGGGGAAUGCACCUUCCCUCCUCACAAAUUAAAGCAGGAACUUUGAGCAAGAUGCUUGCAGUAGAAACAAAGCUUAAUUGUUAUAUAUGGUAGUUGGAACAAUUAAAGACAGAUGCUCACAGCAAAGGGCAAGAUGAUUUGCUUUUCAUGUCAAAAAAAAAAUUAUUGCAGCGCGGAAGCACAUGGCGCCCACUCAACUCCCACUCCACCAAUGACAUCUAACAGUAGCUAUAUAUACAUAUCUAUCUAUAUGUUUUGCGCUUUGAAUUAAGGGUCUACUCGGUCACUAUGAGCUAAUAAAGGAACUAACCCAAAUCUAUGUGCUUAAUUAGUCCCUACGUCAACUAGAUAAAAAUUCUAAUUCUUAUAUUCUUUAUUUCCUUGCGCCACUACAUGACCAUCAAGUGAAAAGAUAAAAAAGGGAAACAAGAGAAAAGAAAAGAAAAGAAAAGGAGUGUUGGAUAGAGAGAAAAGUGAACAGGGCCAAAAAAGCUAAAGCUAUUUAGCUAGUUAAAUACCACAGCAAUAAAAGGGAAAAAAAGAAGAAGAAGAUAUAUAUGCUCCAUCUCUUAAUUGUGAACCUUCUACUAGCUAGUCAAUUGAUUAAUUCUCAAGUACAUGGAUGAUAUAUAUAUAUAUAUAUAUAUAUAUGCUAGUCAGGAAUGCAUAUAUGUUUGGGCAUCAACAUGUACGUACACCUUUACCUUUUGGCAUGCACUUAAAUUUGGAAAAAAGAAACACUCUUUGUGUACUACAAUAAAUGCUUUGGGGGUGUGAAAUGUCACAGCGCAGUUAGUCGUGGGGUUGAUGGAGGGAGAUCAUAGGAUGGCCACGAGAUCUUGUACUUGGAUUUAGAAAUGAUUUGGAGGACGAAUGGCCGGGGAGCCUCAAACAAGCACCGUAUGUGGAUUCGGUUAUCCGGCAAUAAUAUUGUGUUACGCCAUAUUCUCAUACUCUUUUUCUUUUUCUUUUUCCUUUUCUUUUACCUAUCAAAUUACUUAAGUGGCACGCACUCAGGGUGCAUGGGACCCAACUACUUUCUUUUCUACAUUUUCUAGGUUUUUGUGUGCCGCGUCUCUACAUGUUGUUCUGCAUUUGUGGUUGAUGAACACAUAGCUAGCUAGCAAGGACGCAAGGGACAUAUAUAUAUAUUGUUAAAUAUAAAAAUAAAUAAAUAUCGUUCGCUAACACUUUAAGAUUUUAAAUUACAACGAUUGUGUGGAAGGUUGCAGUCCGCCACUCCGCGAAAAGCGAGGAAGUCAUAAGCACUUCUGGUAGAGAAAUGCCUGGUUGAAUCCCACCUUCAAGUGACUGAAUCCUCCAUUCCAGCAUUUAAAGAGGUGGUUGAAACGAUUGCUGCGAGCUGGUGAAAUUCAACCUAUUCCGACAAACUAAGGGGAGAGCUGAAAUUCAACCUGUUUCGACAACUUGCGAGCUGGUCCUUCUAUCUGUGUGCUGUGCUUUAAGAAUGAAGAAAACCCGAAUCAUCUUCUUUUCGGUUGCAUUUAUGCCAGAGCUCUUUGGAAAGAAUUACUAUCUGACGUACCCUUCAUUGCUGAAUUGCUGGAAUUAGCAGAAGGGGAUGUCACCUCCAGACGGACGCGUUGCAGAAACUCACUUUCGGGACCUACUAAAACUUUGUUCGACCUAUGCUUUGCGGUUGCCUGCUGGGAACUAUGGAAAAAGAGGAAUUCGAGAAUUUUUACCGCUCGCCAGUCUUCUUAUGGAGCUCUAGGAAAGACCGUUACCUGCUCGGUCAAGCUCUGGUUGUCCGUGUGGAGGAUCUAAGAGAGCUCGUCCUAACGGAUUCUUCGUUUCUCUCCUGUUUUACUCUUGUUUUCUCAAGCUUCUUGUUUUCUAUUCCUGUAUCUCCAGUCAAAUAGGGUGAACCCCUGUUUAAUAAAAAAAAAAAAAAAUACAACGGUUGUUUCAUAUGUUUAACCUGGUAUCAGAACAUAAGGUUCUAAAUUCGAGUCACGUCAUACUCCUAACAAUAUUAAUUUUUUCUCAUUUAAUUUAAAUUCACGUCAUAUAUGCCUUGCAAAAAGUUUCGAUGUUCCCUCCCCUUCAACUAAACUCUUUUGUUUUUCUCAAUUAAUUAUGUACUCUUUUUUUUUUUUUGAGAGAGAAAGGUAGCAUGCUACCGCUUCAUUUAUUUAGAAAAUGAACUGGGCUACAACCUAAGGCAACAAGGCCUCGAGAAAAAAAGAAAUAUGAAAUAAUUAAUGGUGAAGUAUUGUUUGGUAAAAAAAUAUUAUUCAAAGUACAAUAUUAUAUAUAUUGUGAAAACAUGUACUAUUUUAAUUUUUUUUCAAUAGGUUUAAUUUGCUUGCAUAGAAUUAAUUAAGGCUCGAUCCAUAUUGGAGAUGUUAUUUUUGGAUGUCAUAAUCUUUUUCUUUUUUCUUUUUUUUUCCUGUAACUUCUUCUCCAGCAGUAAUUAUAGACUUUUAACUAAAUUUUUAAUUGUCUAAACUCUAUUAAAAAUAAUAUAAAUAACAACAGAAUUAAAACUAGGGCUAGCUAGAUAUAUUGUUUCCCACAUACUUAUAUGGCCUUACUUUCAAGUAGCGGUUGGGAAAAUUACUUAGAGCUCCUGUAAAUGAGGAAAUGAUCUCUGACAUCGCAUAUUGCGCUUUCUCAUUACUGUUGUUUGGGGUAAAAUCUAGUGAUUGAGAUGUCAUGAGACUACUGAUCAUCAGUUGAUUUAAUUAGUUCAAUGAAGGCAUAGAUCGAUCUGCUUGCUUCGUUACGGCCGGGUUGUAGGAAUCCAUUUUAUAUGCUUUCUUAAUUUGGUGUUUUCUUUCUUCCUUUCUUUCCUUCUGUUUUUUCGUUCGAGAAACAUCAUCAAUAAUAUAAUUAGUUUGUUUGUUCGAAAAACAAGUACUCAUUGAUGACAACCCAUCAUGUUUGUACUCUUACUCGGAAGAUAAUCUAAAUUGGAACGUAAAAUAUUGGAAUUUAUUAGUGAACAAGAAUCAAAUCAUUCCCUUGGUGUGCAUAAUUAAUGGAGAUAAUGCAUAAAUGGUGUGCCUCCCAAAUAUUAUAUGAGGAGGAUAAUUAGUGAUGAUGUACCCAUGGCCGUAUCUUUUUCUAGUUUAGUUCAUUUAGGUAAGUUGAGCUUGCGACACGUGGCAUGCACUGUGAGGAAACUAUAGUGGCCACCUUAAUUAAUGCUUCAUCGGGGGCCGGGGGAUUCUUCCUACGUGGAGGGUCCCUCCAACUUCACUCUUUGCCUUUGCCUUUGCCUCUCCAUUAAUUUUUGUGCCCUUUUCAUUCAUAUUUUAUUUUCCCAUCAAUUACACUUUGGCAAGUAGAGAAGCACAUUAAUUUUUAGAUUAAACAUACAUGCAUGCCCAAAUUAUCUAACAAGGUAAAGAUGCCUAUAUUACUUGAAUUAUGUACUCAUGUGAAACCUCCCCUCCCCAUGCACCUUAACCCAAACACAAAACACAUACAGUUUAUGGUUAUUAAUUAGCACGAAGUAGGAAAAAACUUGCUAUAUAGCUACAACACUGAAAACUUUUCAGUAAAAUUUGGUGCGCCGCUACAAACAAUCAACCUCUAUCAGUAUUUCUCCUUUAAAAAGUAAAUAAUAACAAAUGAAAACAAAUCAAAAGUUAGAUACGACUUGCAGCUAGUUAAGGAGUGCCCUCUAUGUAGAGAUGUUACUUUGCCAAACUAGUUAGAAACAAUUAAAUUGAAUAAAUUGCACUGCUAGUACGUAGUCUCUAAGUGUUUAGCUAUUAUCUUAUCCUUCAAAAACUUAAGUUGGGAUUUCAUAAUCUAGACUUGUAAAUGUGCUUAAUUUGCUUUAGUAAUUACCUUAGAGAAAAGAAUUAAUGUUAACAACCCAUGCACCCAUACAAAUCCAUGAAAUUUAUAAACCCUCCAUUUUCCUCGCACUUACAUCGAUCCGGCCAACUCUAAAAUUUAAAUAGGUAGAAAAGCAUGUAACUUGAUAAAUGGUACGGGCUAAAAUAUGAGAUGGAAUUGAGAAUUGAAGGAUGCAUGGCUUGAAUGUUGAAAAUAGUAUCCAUUCUACACAUCUAAUUGCACUCCUCAUUUAUCAAAUACAACAUGCGUGCUUCUUGAGUAAAUUAAUGAACAUUUGCCAAAUAAGAUGUUUUCAUGCAUCCAAAGAGGGCCUGAGAAGAUCAAAACCAUGCAUGAAGUUAUCUAACCAUGAGAAACAUCAAUCUCUAGACAUAUAUGGUCGAUUAUCAAAAUAGAAACCAUCCACAAAGUUUCCAAAGUGUAAGAAAUUAAGUAAUCCUCUAGGUUCUUAUAAACAGCUAGGACAAUGGAGAAUAUAUUAUCUUGAUAACUUUGUAUAUGUGUGUUUACUUUUGUAUCGAAUAAAAGAAUUAUUAAGCCAGAGAGCCAAAAUAAGUUGAAUUCGAUCUGUUUGGUAUCUAUAGAGGAGCUAGUGUUAGCUAGGGCUUUGGUUUUGAUAAUUCUUUUAGAAAAUCAUUACAUAUUAAUGGACGGGAAUUGGCAUGCGAAACCCUACGUAUAUAUGCUUUUGCUAGGGUUUUGGUUUUAAUUUAUUCUGUAGUCAAAGCAAUUAAGAUACUCCUGCUGUAUGAUUAGUAUUUUGAGGAUUUAUCAAUCCUGAUAUGAUUUAGAUAUUAGAUAUCCUCUUGCAUGGAUUUGCAUAGGUCUGUAGAGAGGGUAAGUACCAAUUACUAGCUAGGGCUGUCCAGAGAAUUCUUGAGAUAGUCUCUUAAUUGCGUGGAUUUGUGUAAGUUCCUUAAUUGUAUGGAUUUGUAUACGUCUCUGGGAGUUCAACUAGUGCGAGAAUCGAUCGUUGGGAACCCUAUAGGAUUCAAGAGGUAGUCUUCUAGAAGUAGUCUUCUAGAAGAGAGGAUUAGAGAAGGUCAUGAUAUGGAUCCAGAAAGAGGGUUAAUUUGAGUUCAAGUGUACGAAUUCUUCUCCUGGUUAAUAUAUCUGGUCUAAUUGCUUACACGUUGUUUGUGUUUUUUCUUUUUUUUGUUUUGACAUUCCGCACACUUUUUAUUGUGAAUACUGUUAUUGUCACGCCCCGGGACCUGCCACUUUGGUCAGAUUCGGGCGCGCCGAUAGACCGUCGAACGAACAGAGUCUUCCCUGUACGUCCAAGGCGUCGCAACAAUACAAUUCACGAGAAACAGGAACAAAAUUUAUACAUACAUUGCAUAAGAAAAAUAUCGAAAACAUAAAUACUAUACUUUUACACUUCAGGAUAUUACACUCUCCACCACUCAAAAAGAGUUCGGGAUAUUACAAGCUAAUUUGUAGAGCACUUUCCCAAUGUGGAGCUUUACGACUCUCCUUUUGAAUCAACCACGCACCUUUAUACUUUUUGUGAUGAGAUAUAUGAAUGCCUCUCUGUGCAUGAAUUCCAAUAUAUACUUGGACCAUUCAUCAAAUCAAACUAUUCUAGAUAUGCAGUUCAUCUCAAAAAUAUUCUUUGCCCCCAUGUUGGUUGCCCCAUAAGUCCAACUAGCCCAUAGCAUUGAUCGCUUCAAAGAUGAUAUCUUGAUAACAUCCAGUGUAAAGAGGAAGUCCCGGAUUUGAAUGCGCUUUAGAUGCUUCGAGAUUAUCAAAGCUUUCAAAGUGUAUUGAUUCUUGCUUUAUGUACUUUGGCAAUGAUGCAUGUGCUAUAUAAGGAUGUUCAUGUACUGUGCAUUUCCAGGGGAAUCAUAUUCAACCCUGUGAAUAAAUACAAUUUUUUCCAAGAUAUGCGGCCCGAAUAUACGCCGCUAGGAAUUGUAUUCUAUCUUUUGAACGAAAUCUCCCUAGAAAUUAGCCAGACAAAUCCACAGCAAAAGAACGAAUUAAUUACCACAUAUAUAUAAGUGUUGCAUUUAUAUUAACUUGCACACAAUGUAAACAGGUUUCCAAGAAUUUCAUAAGGGCAUGAGUCAAUUUUUGUGCUGUUGCAUACAUAAGAAAUUGAUUUUGAGGACAUACAGUAAAAUGUGGAGUUUGCAAGGAUUCAUGUAUAUUUGAAUGGAUGAUUUUACAUAAUCAUAGGAUCAAAAGUCUUAGCUUUCCGCUAAUUCCCCUGUAAACCUCCAAAACAAUUCUCCUUAAAUUAAUUCUCUCCAAAUUGAAUAAUUGAUCCAAUUAACCCAAUAGAAGCUCUAAUUAAUGAUGCUCCAGUGAUGAUGACACUCCUAAUUAACUCGUAAAGUUAUACUUACAAAAACAAAAGUUAAGAGGCAGGAAAAAAGAAAGAAAGAUUAAUUAUACAUAAACUUUGACCGAUCAUUUUAGUCCUUCCUCAUGAGCUGCGUGGAGCAUAUAUACUCGAAUACCUAUCAUUCUUUCCUCCCAGAUAGUUGCACGUACCAUAGUAAUAUUAUUAAAUUUGCCAACUAUACACAUCGAGAAUAUUUAUGAAUUGCGUACAUCACGUUCGAGUUUGAAUGAAUCACGAUGGUGUGGACUGUAGAAGGCAAAGUGCAUAAUAUGCGGCGAUGCUUUAUUAUAUAUAUCAAGCUUAAAUAUAUAUGCAAGACUAAAUCCGAGGUUGAUUCAAACUUGCCGACACGUAACACCGAAAGGUGGCAAUCGAUAACAAAUAAUAUUGCGACUGAUGAAUUAAUCAAGUUGAUCAGUAACAUCGCGAGUGAAGUAAUUAAUUAAUUAAUCAAAUGAUCACAUUAACUAGUUAAUAAUGGUACAUUGGCCAAUACUGCACAGCUAGCUAGAGUUGUGCACAUAAAUUGAGGAGUAUGUGCGACUGCUACCGUAUCAUCUAUGGCGUUCUUCGAGGUUGCUACACUCUAUAUAUAUAUAUAUAGUUUUAAUAUUAUUUGUGAUAUGAUAUAAAACAAGGGUGCAAUAUUAACCAAUAGUUCCUAACUAGUAUGCGUUAGUGAUAAACUAAUGAAGCCUCGGAGGUUGGGUUCAUGCACGCAUGAGCACACACAUACAAGUUGUAGCAAUACGGUGCACGGGUCUUUCCCCUUGCAACGAUGCAUUCACAUGCAAGCACAUGAGAGUUGCACCAUUUACACUAUAUAUAUAGCUAGGUGCAUGUUUCACAAUCCCAUUAUCCAAUGUAGGACAAGAUAUAAAAAAGGGAAAUGCAUGCUAGGUCGACAAAUAAAUUUGCAUGCCCAUCUUAUUCUGUAUAUUUUUCUUUUCUUCUCUGCCUCUUUUUCCAAGUGGUAAAGGGCUUGGUGAUUGAUAUCCGAGACCCCGUGUUCGAAUUCUACUUGUUUCAUAUUUUUAACUAAGUUUUGGAUAGCAUUCUACAUAUCUCUCAAAAAAAAAAAAAAUAAUAAUAAGCCAUUUUCUCUUAUGAGACGACAUUUCUUUUCUGUUUCUUUUCUUCUUUUUUUUUCCUGUUCUCUCAUCAUUAUACUUCUUCAUCUUAUGCAGGUAGCUUUGCAUCUGCAUGGGUCGACUCAGUUAAAUAAUGUAGUCUUGUGCAAGCAUGGUUUAACUUUCCCUACUUGUAUAUAUGCAUAAAUGUGGUAGUGCUUAAGAAGGAAGGCUAAGUAAUUAACACUUGGUCGAUGAGAGGUUAUAUACAUAUAUAGUUAAUUAAUUAGUGUGGCUGGAUUUUGGGUGGGUCGGAGUGAGAUGUUUUAAAUUAAAUUAUCUUUUGAAAAAAGUGAAAAAGCUAGCUAGCUUCUUAGAAUCCCACUUGCAGUGGUGGUGACGAUGUUACGUCUCUAUAUUCUAUACUUAUUUGGGGGUAAUUAAGGAUCGAGGAUUAGAUAUGCAUGCAUUACAUAGCCAUUUAGAAAGCUAAUGGCUACAUAAUAUUGCUAAACUUUUUAUGUAACUAAUUACAGAGCCUUAUAGGCAUUGUUUGGUUGAGAGAUAAAGUGGGAAUAGACCGCUUUAUCCCUCUAAUUCAUCUAAACACUAUAAAAGGGAGUGAGUUUAUUUAAUCCCCCUCUUAACGGGUUAUUCUAGAAUAACCCGUUAAAAGGGAGGAUUUGUUGUUCCACCCUUUCGGCGGAAUAACAAAUUUUUCUCUUUAUACCUCUGCUAGUUUAAUAAUAAAAUAUUAUUAAUUAAUAUAUUAUAUAUAUCAUUUUAUUAACUAAUUAGCUAAAGUAAAAAUUAACUAAUUUAAUAAUAAAAUAUUAGCUAAAUUAAUAAUUAUUUAUUAGUGUGUUUAUGCAAUAACUAAUAUCUUUAUUGAUUAAUAAAUUAAUAUUUUUACCAACAUAACUAAUUAAUUAAUUAAUUAAUUAAUUAAUUAAUUUUACUUAAUAUAUUAAUUUAUUAGCCUAAUUGUUAACUUAUUAAAUUAUUUAUAGUUAGAUAAUUUAUUAAUUAACAGUCCUCAUGGUUAAUUGAUUAAUGAUUAAAAUCUGGUAAUUAAUGUAUUAAUUAACAUUUAUGAUUAUCUAAUAAUAUUCAUGAUAAAUUAAUUUUUAAAAUUAUAAUUUGAGAUUUAAAAUUUUAAAAUUUAAUUUUGAUUUUUAAAAUUUAAAAGUUUAUAUUUUUAAUUUUAAAAUAUAAUAUAAAAUAUAAAAAUUCUAAUUCUAAUAUAAAGAAAAGAAUAAAUAUUUUUUUUAUUUAUAACUACCAUUUUAAUUCUUAUUUCAUCUUACCUAACCAAACGUUAUUUUUCUUUUUUUCAGGAAUAAUUUAAUUUUCAUCCAAACGCAAAAUUGAUCUAAUCCCCGCUUAUACCUCAAUUUACACCUAUCCCCGAAUAUCCACUUUUUGCUUAUUCUCGAACUAAACGAUACCAUAAGGUUUGUAGCCUUACAUAUAUAUAUAUAUAUAUAUAUAUAUAUAUAUAUAGAGUCCAGCUAUGGUGCUUGUAAAAGCACCAAGCACUUGUUACUUUUAAAAGCAUAGGAGCUCAAUUCUCAUAUAUAUAUAUAUAUAGAGAGAGAGGUUGAGCUAGAAUACUAUUGGUAGUAAACGAGCUGUUUUACUACUGAUUUGUUUUCGAUGAUAGAACUUUCAAAUUGACGAUCGGCUCCGUUGAACAUGAUCUAUACCAUUGAAGUGUUUAGAAAUCAAAUUUUAAAUCUUUCGACAUCAUUUGCCUAAUGAUCAAAGGGUUUCAAAAUUUGUAAUUUUAAUGGUUGAUAAGAGGCUUUUCUCGUUUAACGGCAUAAAGAUAUCCAAUCAAUUGAAUUUUUGUUAAAAAAUUCUUUAAACUAUUUAAAACAAGAUCUAUACUCUUGAUCUUGAUUACAAGACUCCUAUCAUCAUUUUUUAAGAAGUAUUCAUUUUCAGUCAUUAUUUUUUCUGUUCACUUGAUAGAUAAAAGAACAAUAUCGAAAGUGCGUGAAAUUUGAUUUUUAGGUAAUAUAUAUGUUUAGAUCAUAUUUAACGAAGCCGAUCGUCAAUUCGAAGCUCUAUCAUCGAAAACAAAUCGGUAGUAAAAUACUCGUUUAUUACCGAUAGUAUUCUAGCUCAACUCUCUCUCUCUCUCUCUCCUCUCUAUAGAUAUAUUAUAUAUAUAUAUAUAUAUAUAUAAUAGUCCUACAAACUAUAUAUAUAUAUAUAAAGAUGCCUAUAUAUAUGUACCUUAGCCCGAGACAUUGCAAGCUUUAUUAUGUUGUCACGACUCAUCCCGACCCACAAAUUAACCCACACAAUAAAUUAUAUAUAUAUAUAAUAUUUCACUUUAUAGGCCUUCCUUUUUUGGGUUUUGUAGUGAGCAUUAAUUAGUUAAAGCUUACAUAAAGAGUAGCAGUUAAUUAGUUUGGUGGACGUAAACUAUUCAACCCUACGUAUUUAAUAUUUGCUACAGGCCGUGCACGCAACGAGUCCCCAUUGGCUAAUUAUAACUGUAAAAAUAAAAUAAUAUUUUUAUGUAAAAUAUUUCGCAACAUAAUUAAAGACAACCAGUAAAGUAAAGCAACAUGCCAAAGAAAAAAAAAAGAAAAAGAAAAAGGUAAAAAAUUUGAAAGACAAAAACUAAAAAGUGUAGCCACAUAUGCCCAGCCAACAGUGGGUAAGGAGAAUUUGUUCAUUGCUAGCUAGUUUCUUUUUUCGUUUUUUCUUUUGUUGCGAGUGCGGCAUAAUAAAGAAUCUACCAACAAAUUAAAAUUACAAAUUUAGUUUUUAUUACUUACUAUUCACUUUUUAAAGUGGAAAAGAUGCAUAGGAAGUGGUGGUAUGAAUAGUGAGAACAGGAAAAUCGGCCUAAUGCAUGCUGAGUGAGACGGUGGUACGAGGGAUGACCGUUCUUGCAAGAUCUAAAGUCUUCGUAUUCCUCUAGAAGCCAAAGUGCUCUGCUGUCUCGUUUUCAAAAAGAGAAUCCCUACUGCAGAUAAUCUUCUAAAGAGAUGAUGGACGUACCGGAGACAUGGUUUGUGUGUUGUGUGGAUCCAAAGAGAAAACUGUAGACCAUUUGCUUGCAUAGUGUGUUUUUACGAAAUACCUCUUAGUGAUGGGUGUGGAGGAUGUCCUACCCGAGGAUUUAGGAGACGAAAUUACUUCGACGUGGGACAGAUGGACGAGAAAAAAUGGACCGCAGUCAAUGACCAAUAGGCUAUCGACUCUCGCAGCCUGUUGGUGGGUCAUUUGGGAGGCCAGGAAUGGGACGAUCUUUCGAAAUGUCCGGCCGGACUUCCUGCUAGCUGCCUGUAAGUUGAAGUCUCUAACAAAGUUUUGGGAACAUCUCCAGCCUAUAAAUUAGCUCCUCUACCACAUCUCGUAACUUUUUUUUUUUUUUUCCUACUUCUCUUCCUUGAGGCCUUAGAUGCCUCGUUCUUGUAGCGUAAUUCACUUUAUCUAUGGAUGAAGCAGGUAGCGUGCUACAUUUUUCUAAAAAAAAAAAAAAAUAGUGAGAACAGGAUUUAAGUCAUAAUAUAAAUGAGGCGAGCGAUGAACAGUUGAGUAGCUAGCCAUCAAUUUUUAUUUUAUUAAUGUGUUCUUAGAAUGCAUCAUGAAGAAAAAAAACGGUGUGAUAAAUCUUUCGUUAAUUAUGUUUGCCAUAUUUUCCGAUUUGACAUUGGUUAAUUUACUGUUUAUCCUAUAUACAUGGUACAUGCAUACAAAUUGAUAUAUAUUAAUUAAUUAUAACAUGAUUUAUUGUGACAGUGUGGAUAACGUUUUGCCAUGGUGGUGCAUAGCAAUCACGCACCUACAGUUGCAAGUUACUGUAGCAGAUGAUACAUAUUAAAACGCAUAUAUUAUUAGCAUUUGCACUAGUUUAAAAUAUCGAGAAGUUAGCAUAUGCAUAGACAUGUACACACAAUUGGAGAAGAGAUUUUGAGCCAAACUAAGGUUUGUAUAUAUGUUCAGAGUUCAGGUAUUAGUUCAGUUUUUCAGAAAAAGGCAAGUUCGCCUAGUGUUAAAUAUAAAAAUGUUUAAAAUACCGUUAUCUAAUAGCUUAAGUUUUUAGAGUACAACGGUUGUUUCACAUGGUAUCAGAGCAGGAGGUCCUGAGUUCGAGUCACGCCAGGCUCCUAACAUAUUAAUUUCCUCCCAUUUAAUUCAAGCCUACGUCAUGGGCUGAUUAAAAAGUCUCGAGCUCAGACGUGAGGGAACAAAGCCAAUUAGAUAGAUAUCGUUCGUCGAAAAGGUUUAAAGGUUUAGGUACGUAAUUGAUCAUUUAAAGGUUUAGGUAAUUGAUCGAUCGAUCUCGAGACUGUAUGCGAUUGAAUAAUUU